rnacentral:lncRNA from 1 species
CCGGAUCACAUAGCAUUAGUGGAGUGAUAAACAAAGCUACAGGAAAGAUCUUCUCGAUUACAUAAGAAAGAUAAAAUAAUGUUUGUUAGGUCUCUUGAGGCUACUUCUAGUGGUGAGACUGAAAAAAGAAUGAGCAUUGACUCUAAUCGGCGGAAGAUUGAUCAAUUCUUUUAUAACCACUUUCUCCUCUAAGUCAGGUGAAAGUCAACCCUUC